rnacentral:rRNA from 1 species
UGGGGAAUAUUGGACAAUGGGGGCAACCCUGAUCCAGCCAUGCCGCGUGAGUGAAGAAGGCCUUAGGGUUGUAAAGCUCUUUCGGCGGGGACGAUGAUGACGGUACCCGCAGAAGAAGCCCCGGCUAACUCCGUGCCAGCAGCCGCGGUAAUACGGAGGGGGCUAGCGUUGUUCGGAAGUACUGGGCGUAAAGCGCGCGUAGGCGGCGCGCCAAGUCAGGGGUGAAAGGCCUGGGCUCAACCUGGGAACUGCCUUUGAUACUGGCGUGCUUGAGUCCGAGAGGGGAUGGUGGAACUCCCAGUGUAGAGGUGAAAUUCGUAGAUAUUGGGAAGAACACCGGUGGCGAAGGCGACCAUCUGGCUCGGAACUGACGCUGAGGUGCGAAAGCGUGGGGAGCAAACA